UUGAUCAAUCUGGUAGUAUGGAUGAAUUGGAAUUGUUACUCAUACCUGAGAAACAAUGUACUCUACAGCCCAUCUCUAAACUCCUUUCUUGGGGCAGGACCAUUUUCUCUAAAAUAGAAACUUAGCAAGUGCGCUCUGGAUGAUGUUUGAAGGGUCCUGUUUUUUGUUGCCUACAUCUUUAAUGGAUUUGUUCCUGCUCUACCUUGUCCACCUAAUCGUGAUUACUAGUGAACAUCCAGGUUAUAAAAUCCAGCACUUGAGGCUUCACCUGUAGGAAUUAAGUUGAAUUGUGCUUUUUUCAUGAAGCCGCAACAAAAAUGUGCUUCCAGCGUCUGGGGAAGGAGUAUAAUUAGGGAUACAACUGCACAUCCGUAUUGAGGAAGUUAUUUCCUUUUUGGCCCAGUCUGUGCAGUAGCUGCUUUGCAGUUUUCCUUUUUUUUGAAAGGAAAGAAAUGCGGUUGGAGCCCCUGGGGAUCAGUGCUUCCCUUGGGGAGGAGGGGCAGAAAUAAGGAAUUGCGGCUUCUGUAACCCAGAGAGAGAAGGAGGCUAGAAAACUGAGAGGAGGGUUCUGGAAAUGAUCGGAAUAGGCUAGGCAAAAGAAGUUCCCGUCUUCUUUUCUUCUUUCAGUCCUAAUCUCAGCCUCAGCCCCAGUCCUAGCUCUAUCCUGAGUUUAUUUACAGCAAAAAUCACACUCAUAAAAGUUUCUAGUUUACAAAUUGGUGAGCCCCAAGUUGCUUUAAAAAAAAAAAGAGUGUAAGGAAAAAGGCAAAAGAGAGAGAAACGGAGAGAUGGGAGGAGAUGGGGAGGAGGAGAAGAAGGGGAAAAAAAGGUUACAAGUAAAAAUUACUUCUGAGCGUCUGUUAACCAGGUCCCGGGCGACUCUGGGCGACUCUUGGCGCCCCCUCUCUGCCAUUCUUACCGAUUCCUACUUCUUACUGCCUUGACUUCCCCAGCUGAGAUUUAGUGCGCACAAAAUUCUUCAGAUGGACUGCUAGUGAAAAACAAACAAAAAACAAAAAACAAACAAACAAACAAAAAAAAAACCCGACGCAUCCUGUCUAGCCUUACUUGGAAACGUUAAUGUUUGAAAGGCGAAUACGUGAAUUUGGACCCUCUUAACCCCAGAGGAAUGAGAGGCGCAUGUUGAGCUGAAAUUCUAAUAACCAAGGGAAGAAAUUUUGGGGGGCAAUAAAUUCGCCUUUUUCUGUACUGGUGCGCUCCAGGAUUAGUGAAGUCCAGCCGGUGAUCAGAGAAUGGAUAAAAAAGGGAAUCGCAGAAAGACCUAAGGUGUUUAUAAAACUAGGAAAAUCGGAGGCCAUUAUUCUUUCCUCCCAAGGCUCCCAUUCUGGAGUCUCUACUACGUGUACACACUACUGCUCAGACUUCGACAACCGGAUUCUGACCAUUCUUCAUCGAGGAAGCACGUCGGUUUGGGUCAGUGUAGCUAGUUGCCUCUGGCAACUAUGAAAAUCGGGCUUUGGCCAAAAUGCCUGCGGAAGCGCAAAGUUCCAUGAAGUUAGGUUGGGAUACAGAAACUAAAGGGAGUCACUUUACCCGAAUCAAAGGCAACAGGCAGGGCAGAAGUGGAAGGCCAAUUAUAGUAUGAGACAGGUGUGGGGUCUUGGUACUGAGGAAACUCCUUCAAAAACAAAUAUCUGUUUAGCCGUGAAUUUUUUAAAAAUAUAGAAAUUAGUAAUUGGGCCAUUCCUGGAGGAAGAUGGUUUCGUUAUUUUCUUCCAUUGUAGACAGUUUGUUUGAGGGUCUAAUGCAUGGUUGAUUACUUCGGGUAACCAGUAAAGCACCUCCCCUUUUUCUAAUAUCCAAGUGCACCAGAAAACCCCAGAAAGAGAAAGCUGCCUCCUGAAUAUGUGCCUUUCUCCGAACUUGCCCUGCACUGAAUGACUUUUUCCCUAGUAAAGCUCGUCACAGGAAAGAGGCUAGGCUGUGAAAUAAGGAAUGAACCUGAAUUUACCUGAAAUCAGUGACCCCAACGAGGUUGACAAAAACCUGCUGUGGAACUGGUCGCCUAACAAUCUUGAUGUUAAAGAAAGAGGGCUUUGCCCAGAUCCAAAUAAGUAUUUGUGGAAUUUGGUGAGAGGAGUUAUUCAAAGUCUCGUCAAUUGCUUUAAAAGUGGUUUUCUGGGAGAAUUAAGGCAUGAGAACGGGAAAAUGAGGAAAGACAGCAAGAAAACCGAAGCUGGUCUGGGAGAUGGGGAGUGGGAAAAGAGAUUUUAUUACCUUUGAUUAGGGAAUUCUCUUUUACAAACGUGUUCGUUUUCCUGGACUGGGGACUUCUGAAUUCUUCAUUGCAACAGUACACUAGGGAUGGACUUAAGAAAUUCAAGCAAGGAAUUAAUUUACAGAGUCCCAUUUUAUCAGUAUCUGACGGGAAGAGAGUGGACAACAGGAAUAGAGAUUGUAAAGAAAGGCUAAAAGAACGGGGAGCAGUGGGGUGAUCCUGGGUGUUUAAAAAGAAAAAAGAAAAAAAAAAAGGUAUUUGAGCCUCUUGCAGACCCUGUAGAGAGCCACAGUUCUCACAGUUCUGGAUUAAGGCCACUGUGGGGCGCCAAAGCUCUACUAGACCAGAGAUGGUGUGCGAAGCGGAUUCAAGAAAAGGAAUCCGGGAGAACAGAUGCACUUGGGAGGGAGGAGAGGAGGAGUGAAGAGGGACAAGGGAAGUAAGCAAGUGUGUGUUGGGGGUGGUGGUGGGGAGGACUUUUAUUCUCCUGUUAAAUUCGCCAGGGAGACUUUGUUACAUAACAUAUUUGUGCGUGGGGUCCCCACAGGGUUAGCCCAACCCAUCUACAACCCCAGAGGACUCCUCAAUCUUCCACUUACAAAGGGUGAGAGGCAUGGCUGAAAGCAACCUCCCUGAGCCUUGGGAGCGCCCUGGAUGCUCAACCGUCAGCUGCCAAGGAAAGCUGAUUUUAUUUGAGCCUCCCCUCUUUGGAUGCUGGAGAGCAGGAGGCGGAGAGGACUCUGCAAGGCGCUGCGCGGCGGGACAGAGCUGAGAAGGGGUUAAGAUGAGAAGGAUGGGGGUGGGGAGAGAGGCUGGAACUAGAGAAGUGUGGACCAGACUUCCAGGACAGAAUAUUCUUAGAGACUUUUCGCUGUUGCACCUCGUGAGCUUGUUGUUGUUAUAUUAUUAUUAUAUUCAGGCCAUUCGAAAAGGUUAGGAACCUAGAUUUAGAAAUGGGAUAAUCCGAGUCUAAAUAUUAAAAGUAAAAUCAGAACCAGACUAAUAUUUACCCAGACUACCAUAAGUAUUUCGCUUUGCAAAUGGGAAGAAAAGUGCUGGAAGAGAGCACUGGCUGCAUGACUUCGUCGGUUUUACAUUUUUCCUUGCAAAGAUACAAAGGGACAAUAAAGAUAAAAAGCAA